GCUGGGGUGGUGGAACUGGCAGACACGCAUGGUUUAGGCCCAUGUGGGAGUUAUAUCCUGUGGAGGUUCGAGUCCUCUCCCCAGCA
rnacentral:tRNA from 1 species